UGUUUGUCAACCCUGUUGUUAUAUUCACAGAGUUCCCCGAAGUGGUGACAUUGAGAGGGAACUUGCCAUCGCCACUAUCACCAGCUUGGGUUCUCAAAGGGUUGCUAAUGGUUUGGAACUGAGACGAGGUGAGGUAUGUUGGGACGAUGUGGAAUUGCACCAGCUGCACUUUUUGUUCAUCGGUGAGUGAAUUCAAUGUGCCCGAUUUAAGGCUGGAGAAAGCAUUGUCCGUUGGUGCAAAAACGGUCAUACCAU
rnacentral:lncRNA from 1 species